GUUCGCUCACUUAUUAUGGUCCAGCCAACUCUUUUCCAGUAUUCAUUCGACGGCCCCCCUGUCCCUGUUCUCUUAGACAUCUGCUCCGUCUCUCCUGACGUUAUCUUGCUCUUUGAUUCCUACUUCUAUGUGGUUAUUCAUUAUGGCUCUAAGAUUGCACAAUGGCGUAAACUUGGCUAUGACAAGGAUCCUAGCCACGACAGUUUCCGCAAACUGUUAGAAGCUCCUGAGAUCGAUGCAGAGCAACUAGUAUCCGAAAGGAUUCCUGUGCCAAAACUUGUAAAAUGUGACCAGCAUAGUAGUCAGGCUAGA
rnacentral:misc_RNA from 1 species